GGGCAUGUGGCGGAAUUGGUAUACGCGUACGCUUCAGAAGCGUAUGGAGUGAUCCUUGGGAGUUCGAGUCUCCCCAUGCCCA
rfam:Bacterium CG10_37_50 isolate CG10_37_50 CG10_big_fil_rev_8_21_14_0.10_scaffold_87158, whole genome shotgun sequence.